rnacentral:rRNA from 1 species
AUUGAACGCUGGCGGCAUGCCUUACACAUGCAAGUCGAACGGCAGCACGGGUGCUUGCACCUGGUGGCGAGUGGCGAACGGGUGAGUAAUACAUCGGAACGUACCUUAUCGUGGGGGAUAACGCAGCGAAAGCUGUGCUAAUACCGCAUAAGCCCUGAGGGGGAAAGCGGGGGAUCGAAAGACCUCGCGCGAUUAGAGCGGCCGAUGCCUGAUUAGCUUGUUGGUGGGGUAAAAGCCCACCAAGGCGACGAUCAGUAGCUGGUCUGAGAGGACAAUCAGCCACACUGGGACUGAGACACGGCCCAGACUCCUACGGGAGGCAGCAGUGGGGAAUUUUGGACAAUGGGGGCAACCCUGAUCCAGCAAUGCCGCGUGAGUGAAGAAGGCCUUCGGGUUGUAAAGCUCUUUUGUCAGGGAAGAAACACCGGCUCUAACACAGUCCGGGAAUGACGGUACCUGAAGAAUAAGCACCGGCUAACUACGUGCCAGCAGCCGCGGUAA